AUUGAACGCUUGCGGCAGGCUUAACACAUGCAAGUCGAGCGGAGAGAGGUAGCUUGCUACUGAUCUUAGCGGCGGACGGGUGAGUAAUGCUUAGGAAUCUGCCUAUUAGUGGGGGACAACAUUUCGAAAGGAAUGCUAAUACCGCAUACGUCCUACGGGAGAAAGCAGGGGAUCUUCGGACCUUGCGCUAAUAGAUGAGCCUAAGUCGGAUUAGCUAGUUGGUGGGGUAAAGGCCUACCAAGGCGACGAUCUGUAGCGGGUCUGAGAGGAUGAUCCGCCACACUGGGACUGAGACACGGCCCAGACUCCUACGGGAGGCAGCAGUGGGGAAUAUUGGACAAUGGGCGCAAGCCUGAUCCAGCCAUGCCGCGUGUGUGAAGAAGGCCUUAUGGUUGUAAAGCACUUUAAGCGAGGAGGAGGCUACUUUAGUUAAUACCUAGAGAUAGUGGACGUUACUCGCAGAAUAAGCACCGGCUAACUCUGUGCCAGCAGCCGCGGUAAUACAGAGGGUGCAAGCGUUAAUCGGAUUUACUGGGCGUAAAGCGCGCGUAGGCGGCUAAUUAAGUCAAAUGUGAAAUCCCCGAGCUUAACUUGGGAAUUGCAUUCGAUACUGGUUAGCUAGAGUGUGGGAGAGGAUGGUAGAAUUCCAGGUGUAGCGGUGAAAUGCGUAGAGAUCUGGAGGAAUACCGAUGGCGAAGGCAGCCAUCUGGCCUAACACUGACGCUGAGGUGCGAAAGCAUGGGGAGCAAACAGGAUUAGAUACCCUGGUAGUCCAUGCCGUAAACGAUGUCUACUAGCCGUUGGGGCCUUUGAGGCUUUAGUGGCGCAGCUAACGCGAUAAGUAGACCGCCUGGUGAGUACGGUCGCAAGACUAAAACUCAAAUGAAUUGACGGGGGCCCGCACAAGCGGUGGAGCAUGUGGUUUAAUUCGAUGCAACGCGAAGAACCUUACCUGGCCUUGACAUAGUAAGAACUUUCCAGAGAUGGAUUGGUGCCUUCGGGAACUUACAUACAGGUGCUGCAUGGCUGCCGUCAGCUCGUGUCGUGAGAUGUUGGGUUAAGUCCCGCAACGAGCGCAACCCUUUUCCUUAUUUGCCAGCGAGUAAUGUCGGGAACUUUAAGGAUACUGCCAGUGACAAACUGGAGGAAGGCGGGGACGACGUCAAGUCAUCAUGGCCCUUACGGCCAGGGCUACACACGUGCUACAAUGGUCGGUACAAAGGGUUGCUACCUAGCGAUAGGAUGCUAAUCUCAAAAAGCCGAUCGUAGUCCGGAUUGGAGUCUGCAACUCGACUCCAUGAAGUCGGAAUCGCUAGUAAUCGCGGAUCAGAAUGCCGCGGUGAAUACGUUCCCGGGCCU
rnacentral:rRNA from 1 species